rnacentral:rRNA from 1 species
CCUACGGGUGGCUGCAGUGGGGAAUAUUGGACAAUGGGGGGAACCCUGAUCCAGCCAUGCCGCGUGUGUGAAGAAGGCCCUCGGGUUGUAAAGCACUUUCAGUGAGGAAGAACGCCUGGUGGUUAAUACCCAUCAGGAAAGACAUCACUCACAGAAGAAGCACCGGCUAACUCCGUGCCAGCAGCCGCGGUAAUACGGAGGGUGCGAGUGUUAAUCGGAAUUACUGGGCGUAAAGCGCGCGUAGGUGGCUUGAUAAGCCGGUUGUGAAAGCCCCGGGCUCAACCUGGGAACGGCAUCCGGAACUGUCAAGCUAGAGUGCAGGAGAGGAAGGUAGAAUUCCCGGUGUAGCGGUGAAAUGCGUAGAGAUCGGGAGGAAUACCAGUGGCGAAGGCGGCCUUCUGGACUGACACUGACACUGAGGUGCGAAAGCGUGGGUAGCAAACAGGAUUAGAUACCCCGGUAGUC